CGUUUAUCGUCCCGAACGAUCUUAAAAAUGACAAUUAAAGUCUUCAUUCGUCGACCCGUUCAUUUAAGAAGAUGCGGAUAAGAUGUUCCGGUUUCGUCCGGAGGAAAUAUUAAACGUACGUUUAUCAUUACGGAAAUGACGGUUUAGGCGAUUUUACCAGCGCAUAGACACCCUUGUACGCCGACAAUGACCGCGGGCUUAUAUAUUUUUGAAAAAUGACUACAGUCGUAUUAUA